GCCGCGGUAGUAUAGCCCGGUCAUGGUUUGCGCCGAGAGUAUGCGGGCCUUUCGAGCCCGUGACCCGGGUUCAAAUCCCGGCCGCGGCA
rnacentral:tRNA from 1 species